AUACGGGACUCAUCCGAGGCCCCGUAAUCGGAAUGAGUAUACUCUAAAUCCUUAUACGAGUAUCAAUUGGAGGGCAAGUCUGGUGCCAGCAGCCGCGGUAAUUCCAGCUCCAAUAGCGUAUAUUAAAGUUGUUGCGGUUAAAAAGCUCGUAGUUGGAUCUGUGUUCCGCGCCGUCGGUUCACCGCCUGUCGGUGUUCAACUGGCGUGUAUGCGGGACGUCCUGCCGGUGGUGGUUCGGUGCCCAGUCGGUACGUAGGGGUCAUCUCGGCCCCGAAGUCCUUCGCGGUGUCUCCGGCCGCCUUUAUAUCCCGUCGCGGUGCUUUUAAACGAGCGUCGAGGCGGGCCGGCACGUUUACUUUGAACAAAUUAGAGUGCUUUAAGCAGGCCCUGUCCCGCCUGUAUAUGUGUGCAUGGAAUAAUGGAAUAGGACCUCGGUUCUAUUUUGUUGGUUUUCGGAAUCUGAGGUAAUGAUCAAUGGGGACAGGCGGGGGCAUUCGUAUUGCGACGUUAGAGGUGAAAUUCUUGGAUCGUCGCAAGACGGACCGAAGCGAAAGCAUUUGCCAAGUAUGUUCUCGUCGAUCAAGAACGAAAGUUAGAGGUUCGAAGGCGAUCAGAUACCGCCCUAGUUCUAACCAUAAACUAUGCCUGCCAGCGAUCCGCCGAAGUUCCUCCGAUGACUCGGCGGGCAGCUUCCGGGAAACCAGAGCUUUUGGGUUCCGGGGGAAGUAUGGUUGCAAAGCUGAAACUUAAAGGAAUUGACGGAAGGGCACCACCAGGAGUGGAGCCUGCGGCUUAAUUUGACUCAACACGGGAAAACUCACCAGGCCCGGACACCGGAAGGAUUGACAGAUUGAGAGCUCUUUCUUGAUUCGGUGGGUGGUGGUGCAUGGCCGUUCUUAGUUGGUGGAGCGAUUUGUCUGGUUAAUUCCGAUAACGAACGAGACUCUAGCCUACUAACUAGGCGUACCCGGUAUCCACAAUCGUGCUACCGGCGAUCAAACUUCUUCUUAGAGGGACAGGCGGCUUCUAGCCGCACGAGACUGAGCAAUAACAGGUCUGUGAUGCCCUUAGAUGUCCUGGGCCGCACGCGCGCUACACUGAAGGAAUCAGCGUGUCUUCCCUGUCCGAAAGGACCGGGUAACCCGCUGAACCUCCUUUGUGCUAGGGAUUGGGGCUUGCAAUUGUUCCCCAUGAACGAGGAAUUCCCAGUAAGCGCGAGUCAUAAGCUCGCGUUGAUUACGUCCCUGCCCUUUGUACACACCGCCCGUCGCUACUACCGAUUGAAUGAUUUAGUGAGGUCUUCGGACUGGUGCGCGGACUGCCGCGCAAGCGGUAGCCGAUGUUGCCGGAAAGAUGACCAAACUUGAUC
rnacentral:rRNA from 1 species